UACGUAGGGUGCGAGCGUUAAUCGGAAUUACUGGGCGUAAAGCGUGCGUAGGCGGUUUGCCGUGUCCUGUGUGAAAGCCCCGGGCUCAACCUGGGAAUUGCAUAGGAAACUGGCAGGCUUGAGUGUGGCAGAGGAGGGUGGAAUUCCGCGUGUAGCAGUGAAAUGCGUAGAUAUUGGGAGGAACACCAGUGGCGAAGGCGGCUCACUGGACCGGAACUGACGCUGAGGCGCGAAAGCGUGGGGAGCAAACAGG
rnacentral:rRNA from 1 species